GAAGCCAGUUAUUUAGGCUCACUGAGCCUCCGUCCUAACGGAUCAGCUCUAGAUGUUGGAGGAAUAAGUUGAAGAGUGAAGAAGAAGAAAAAAAAACAUGGUUAUCUCAAGUAACUCGCAUACCCCGAUUUUGUUACACAAAUAAAAGUCUGUGUCUUGGGCCCAGUUGCGAUCCUGCCCACGCGGCCCAGCCUUUGAUAUUUAAACCAGGCCAGGCGAAACUUCAGGUUGAGGCACUCUACAGCUUAGGUAUUCUAUCCUCCUUUCCCUAAGCAGUCGAGGGAAGCGGUUGCACUGUUCAGGGGCUAGCCAGAGACGGGACACAGGACUGAAGGGGAGCAAGCUGUAGUGGCAGCCGAGCCUGACGACGUCUCGCUCUUCGGCCUCGUUCUGCAGAAACUUAAAAACAGCCUCAAGCCGCUGCGCGCUGCCGAACGUCGGCACGAUUCUCUAAGUUCGGAAAUCACGAAGCAGUGUGGUGGAUUCGCACGACCAGAGCGUGUAGUGCUUUCAAAAACAAAGAGCUGGGGGCAACUUGUUCGGCUUCUGUCCCCAAGUGCACUUCAAACAGCGCAUUUCUCCCUAUGCGGAAAUUCACUCUACUCCUAGCAGGGGCAGGCGGUGGAAGCCAUCACUUCGCCAGAGCUGCUCGGAGCUCCCACUUUGCUGGAAGGACCUCGCUGCUCCAGCGCAUUCUUAACCUAGCCCAAGAAGAACGCUCAGCUAAACAGGGCACUGUGAGCCUGUGGGGAGAAUUUUUAAAAGCUGCGGGACAGGAAGACGACCGUUGGGGCUGAAGUUUCAUUUGGAAAGCGCAGGGCGCAGUCCGGCUCUGGUGCUUGCUCCCCAGACUUCGGCAGCCAAACGGGUUGUGACACUGCGGGAGGCGUGGGAACGCAGGACCCCCAUCAAGUGUCUCUGCUGUGGGUUCCUGGUUUUUGACAGCGAACUCCACUGGGUUUGGGGAGCAUCGAUAUUUGGAAGAGCCCUAUCUUGGAAGAUCAGAGGAAACGAAGCACCUUUCCGUGCGCGGUUGGGAACUGCCGCGUUUAGUUUACUAAGGCCAUGUGUCCCUAGUCCUCACAGCUACCCUACGGCUCCAAACGGAAUAGGAACAGAUACUAGGAAACCGGGGGAAAAGAAGCAGGUAAGCCUCAAGUUGUUGAGGAUACUCCUUUUAACAGUGAAGACCGUGGAGCUAAGCGGAACGGAGAGGAAUUAUUAGACUUCAUCGCACAGGAAUGGUGGAGGAGGCUAUGACUGGAAACUAAAAGAUGUCUCAGAUCUCUUUGCGCACCGCACCUCCCCGCAGGUUCCCACUAGCAGUUAAUCAUCCUGGCAGUAUUUGCUGGAUCACCCUGCACGCCUGCACGUCUCCGGUUCUUCCUGACAUUUCUCGUCCCUGAUUACCUCCUUUCUUCUGCUCGUGGUCACCCUGAGGUUUGGGCUGCCUUGGACUUCUCCGCUUUUGCAAAGACUCCUACAAACUUGCCGGUGCACGUCUGGGUAGGCUCUCCGUAGGCGUGUCUCAGGGCUGGCCGGAGAACCUCUCCAGCCGAGAAGUCCCGCAAAAUUUUUGGCGUUCGGUUCCAGAGCCCUGCUUUAUUUCAGUUCAGUCUGGGGAGGGGGGCACGGACCCAAGGAUAAUAAACAAUGCUGCUUACUAGAGAUACAAACUGGGCGCCGAAAAGAACCACGUAGAAAAGCAAGCAUUUUAACAAGUGGCCAGACUCUCGGGGAUGCCUUUGAAAGUGACUUGUUAAGCACAACCGUUGGCGUUUCUCUGAAAAUUCACAAUUACGCGCACAGACGUUUUCAGAAUGUGCUGUUUGGAGCGACAUUUUACUUGUUGGCUUUUGCCUCUGGAGAUCAGCCUGAGCUGUUGCUACCUGCCCACCCCUCGGUGCAAAUUGCCUCUGCCUCUCAAGGCCCCUUUUUACAAAGGAGGGUCUUCCAGGUGUCAGUGUACAGUGCUACCAUUAUUCCAGUGGCAAGCACUACCGACAGCACAGACUUUAGAGGGAGUUGGCUGCCUCGUAAUUUAAAGACACGAACUCUCUCCUUCCUUUACACACACACACACACACACACACACACACACACACACAGAGAGAGAGAGAGAGAGAGAGAGAGAGAGAGAGAGAGAGAGAGAGAGGAGAAAGCUUUUGGGUGCUGACUGCCAGUGGAAACUAAGGACUAAGGAUUCCCGCUGGGUGCUGGUGAAACUGAUUUCUCCUCUACCCGAUGGCCUUGGGAAAGGGCUUCCCAUCUGCUCUGGAUGUCCCCUCACAAUGUCAGAAAAUCUGCCUACAAAUAUUGGCACCGAGCUGCCGUGACAGGAGGUGCUGCUUUAAAUAGGAGAGAGACUGCAGGGCGAAAAGAAAGUCACAACCUUCCCAGGGACCAGACUACCUGCCUCUAGUUCCCCAAGCCCAAAGGCAGACAAAGGGGGCGGGUAGAAAAGCCACUCUUCUGAGCAGAGCGAAGAAUGUACUGCGGGUUUCUGCGACCUCCGUUCAAUUUUAGAAACUGCGAAUACGCAGAUGGGUCCCUGAGGACCAGUUGUUAAGCAGGGUGGGCAUCCGACCCCUUACCUCCUAAGCCCCACCUAUCUCCCAGCUCUUGUUCAGAUAAAGGCAGAGGAGAAAUCUGACAGCCGUUCAGCUCAGCUCUUGUGGGCAGUAUGUUCCUUCUGUUUUUGUCCAAAGCUGGGGUGGGGGUCUGAUUAGGGAAGAUCUAGAUUCAGCCCUGGACCUUGAGACAGGAUUCAUCCUAGGGAAUGGAGGUGUGGCUAUCACUUGGCCAUGGAUGUCCCAACCUUCAGUUAUGUCCCUUCUGCCCCACCAAGGGCAUUCCUCAUCCCUGGAGAGGAUUGUGGUGACAACUGUACCAGAGAAGCAGCUGAAGCCCUUUCCCGCCUCCCCACGGUGCUGCCCAGCAAGCGAGCUGCCCAGCAAGCGAGCAUACACAACACUCACACGUCAUUUGUCUCCUGACUUUCUGGACUUGCCUUGGAGCUCACUCAGCUGUCUCUGACUGACCCUCUCAGCACAGCCCAUGGCAGUGUCUCCCAGGAAGCAUCCUGUCUGCUAAGACCAGGCUCGCCUCCUCCUGUAGAGCAGGACUAAAUUGGAGACAGGAUCUCAGGCAGUUUUGAGUGAUGAGCGGGUUGUCUCGACUUCUCCACAGGUUUUCAAAUCACCUGGUCUCUGACUUGUCAUUGUGAAGAAACCGAGGUGCAAAGGAAGGGUUUGACCUAAGGACAUGGAGAGCUGAGAGCAGGGUCCACAGAAGCUUCUGGAUGUCUUGAGUGUGGAGUCCAUUUGCUCAGUCUGAAGGGGAGGGGGGGAUAGCUGACAGUGAACUACUGUUCAGUGAGUACCAACCGUGAGGCAGAGCACAUGCCACCCAGACACAUUGCGUAAGUCAGCUUUCCAGAAACCCCCAACAAAAUGUAAAAGAUACGAAAGGAAGGCUGGCAUACAUCAAAAUUCCUCAAAUAACAUAAAAGCACAUAAACAGAAAGCAAAACCUCCAACUCUACUCUGUCCCCCCAAAUAACAUUUAUAGCUUUCAUUUCAGUGAAACGAAAUUCACUGAAUUUCAGUGGCUGGCUGUGUAGCUGACAGAUGUUAUCGUCAUUGAAUGAACGAGGAAAAUAGGGAUCUCAAGCUAACACAACAUGGCUACCUGUCUCAGCCCUUCCCAUUGCUCUACACGAGCUAUGAAACAGUGAAGCUGUGGAGAGCAAAAAGGUCUAUGAGGUGAGAGUGAACACCAGCUCCCCUUUGUCCUGCUAUUUCCUUCUGUCCUAUUCAGCAGCCAAAACUUGCAACAUGUUUCAGAAGCUGAGACCAUAUUAAUAAUUACUCAUAAUAAUUGUAUUCUUCCUAGGCCUUGGUGUAAUUACAAACUGUCCUCCUUGAAGCCUAAGAUCCUAAGACUGCUUCCAGCCUGUGGUAGGCCAGCACUGGGGCAUGCCUAUUUAGCCUAUUCAGCUGCAGAUUUCCCUGGCUGUCCCUGGGAGUUGUUGGGAGACUCCAAUGAGAGGCAGACAAGAGGCUGUGCUGCUUUUCAAAGAUGCCUUUAGGAACCUGCAUACCUGCGUGCAGUUAGAACAAUGGAGAAAUAGGGACUUUUUUCUUUUCUUUCCUUCCUUCCUUCCUUCCUUCCUUCCUUCCUUCCUUCCUUCCUUCCUUCCUUCCUUUCUUUCUUUUUUGCGGGAUGGUGGGGGUUGUUUUACUUCUGGAACUAGCUAUGUAGACCAGCCCCAGCCUGGCCUCAAAUUCACAGAGAUCUGUCUGCCUCUGCCUCCUGAGUGCUGGGGUUAAAGGUGACAGCCACCACACCCAGUGAAUCUGGGGACUUUGCAAAAGGCUGUGCUUUGGGUGCUUGAUGGAGACAAAGGGAAAGGAGCUGCUCAUUCAUCGGUGGGGAGGGGAGCACUGGGUCUUUGAUGUGGGAAGACUUCUACAUGUGUGAAGUAGAUGUCUUUCUGCUGAAGACAAGCUGGUUAGGACUUAGAGAUGCAGGCAUACUGUACAGAGUGACUGGCUAAGAGCAGCAGAGGUGCAGCCCGGCAGAUGUCUAAGUCCAUCCCUUUGGUAAGCAUCCACUACUGAGGGCUAUUUAUCCAUAGCUAGGUGGGGAAGCACACCUGUAAGAGGGUAGCAGCUUUCUAGAAACAAUGAUUUGUUACAUUCGUGUGUGUGUGUGUGGGGAGGGGUAUAUGUCAGCUCCCACAUGAUGCUCAUUUUGUUUUGAUUUAAAACCAAACCAGACCUUUGCUUUGCAACUUUCUUUAAUUUGGGGACCUGAUGAGAAGAUAUGAUAAGAAAUGAUAGGCCACUCACUGGUAGGGUCUCUUACACUUAGCUGAGGAACCACAAAGGGAAGGGACUGUUGGCCCUUCCUGCUAAAUCCUGCAGCAUGCACACAUCUGAGAGAUGUGGGGAGAAUCUGAAGACCUCUGGGAGGAAGGAGAAGAGAUAAAGGAGCCUAGGGAGGUGGCUGAUUCCAAGAAGAAACUGUGGAAGUCAGAGGGGGAAAAAAAAAUUAACUUUCUUGAAGGCCCAGGCAGGCUUCAGAGCCUGCAUUCAAUGCUGGCCAGGACAAAGGAUACUGCGCCCCCUGGUGUUAGCCUCACAUCAGCGUCCAGAGAGCUGCGUGGAGACCAGCAGCCAUGAAGGGCCUAAACCAAGCACAGGUUUCUUCUGUUUGCUAAGCCAGUUGGAGUAGAAGUGGCCUUUCUUUCUUAAUUCUGGAGUCUUGCAUGCAGAGCGCCCUUGGAAGAAGAUUGCGAUGGGCUAAAAGUCGUGAGCCUGUUGCAGGCAAGGCCUGGACUUGGUGCAGUGAAGGAAAUUCCAUCACACCUGCUCCCGAGUCUAGGAAUGCCAAGUUAGCCAGCUCCCACUUCGCCCCAAGAGUCAGCCUCUCCUCCCCCGUUACCAAGAGACAGAAGAAUUUAAGAAAAGGGACGGACCCCAUACUUAAGAGGCUUGAAAUUGUAUACCUGACAUUUCUGAGUUCAGUUAUAAAAUACAGCCCCCUUCAUCACAGGAAAAAUAAAAAAUGUAGUUAAAAGUUAUCCUUUAAUAACCAUUGCACUAAGAGGAAUGGAAAAUAACGUUGACAUAAGAUGUGUAUAAAACUAUUCAUAUCAUCAGCGGGGCUGGGAUAUAGCUUGGUCAUGGAGUGUUUGCAUAGCAAUGGGAAUGGUCCAAGGUUCAAUCCCCAGAACUGGGAAAGAAAAGGGGGUGGAGAGGAGGUGUAGUCACAGCCGCAUUUCCAAUAUAGGCAGAAAGUGGAAAGAAUCCAAACGCCUACCAAUGAAUGGACAAGUGUAAGGUAUUAUAUCUAUACAACAGGAUACUAGCCAGCAGUAGAAGGGUAUGAACUAAUAAAGAUGACGGCACAGAUGACUUUUUAAACUUCGUCCUAAGUAACAGAAGACAAUCACAAGGAAAGCACCCACUUCGUAUGUCCGGAGUAUAUAGGCAUACCCACAUAGAGAAUGCAGAACAGUGGUUGGCUGGGACUUGGAGAGAGGACCUGGGCUUUGGGAGACAGCAGAGGUGGUGCAGAUGAAAAUGUUCUUGAGUUAACUGAAGUGAUGGUUGGACCACUUGAUAACUUCAUUUAGCAACCACCGAAUUUUAUUUGUAAGUGGGGGCAUUGCAUGAUACAUUGACUAUAUCUCAAUAAAGCCUUUAAUAGUUUUUAAACAAUA